rnacentral:rRNA from 1 species
UGGGGAAUCUUGCGCAAUGGGCGAAAGCCUGACGCAGCGACGCCGCGUGAGCGAUGAAGGCCCUCGGGUUGUAAAGCUCUGUGGAGGGGGACGAAUAAGGGUCGUCGAACAGACGGCCUGAUGACGGUACCCCUUUAGCAAGCACCGGCUAACUCUGUGCCAGCAGCCGCGGUAAGACAGAGGGUGCAAACGUUGUUCGGAAUUACUGGGCGUAAAGCGCGUGUAGGCGGCUUGGCAAGUCGGGUGUGAAAGCCCUGGGCUCAACCUAGGAAGUGCACACGAAACUGCCGAGCUGGAGUUCUGGAGAGGAAGGCGGAAUUCUCGGUGUAGAGGUGAAAUUCGUAGAUAUCGAGAGGAACACCGGUGGCGAAGGCGGCCUUCUGGACAGUGACUGACGCUGAGACGCGAAAGCGUGGGGAGCAAACAGG